CGUUACACUGGAAGGAGAGGAAAAGAGCAUCUCUCAAGAGCCCUGGAACCAAAGGACUCAAGUUCCUAGCUGUGAGCAGCAGACGGAGGCCUCACCAGCAGCAGAAGGCGGUUGCCAAAAACAAGCCACGAGAGUCAAGACAAAGAUCCACCCAGAGGAAAAGUGUUCUUACCAGACAUCAAGGGAACCACUGACCGCAUAGGGAAGCUGAUGAAGAAACACAACCUACAAACUAUCUACAAACCCACUAAGAAAAUCCAACAAAUGCUACGUUCAGCAAAGGACAAGAGAGAUUCUCUCACCUCUGCAGGAGUCUACCGUAUCCCAUGCAGCUGUUGACAAGUCUACAGAGGGACCACCAAAUGCAGCAGCAUUGCCCAGGCACAACUCAAGGAACAUGAAAGGCACAGCAUACUGACUCAACCAAAGUAGCCAGCCACAGCAGAGCACUUGAUGAACCAACCUGGACACAGUACAUUAUUUGAGAAUGCAGAAAUGCUGGACCACUCUUACAACCACCAUGUCAGAUGACACAUAGAAACCAUUGACAUCCACAAGCAUGUGGACAAUUUCAAUAGAAAGGAGGAAACCAUUAAAAUGAACAAAAUCUGGCUAUCAGUAUUAAAAACUCUAAAAUGGUUUUAAAAGCAGCAAAGAAAGUACAACACCCUGAAAACAGGGGAAUUCCAAACAUAAAGCAAUCAAGGCCAAGGAUUCCCCCAGGCAGGAAUCAGCUUUGAAGCUGCAAGGCCAUUAAAUCCUAAUCAGGUGAUUAAUUGCAACAUUCACACUUCCUCCAGCAGACUAGAGUUCUUUCUCCCACCCUGGACCUUCCACAGAUAUAUAAACCACACUAGCCCAAUUUCCAAUGUACCUCACAACUUCUGAGGAUGCCUGCCACGGAUGUGGGCAAAACUUCAGGAGCAUGGAACAAGGCCAUACAGCCUGAAAAACCCACAGCAACCCAAUUAAUGGAAUUACAAAUGGCUUUUUAAAAAAUAAGUGGCAUGACAAUCGUAUUUUUGAUUGUUUUAUUUCUGAAAAUCAUACAGAUAAUAAUACAGUACAAACCUUGGCAUUCUAUGAAUCAAUGUAGAUGACUAUUUACAGUUUUUGUGAUUAAGUUGAACGCCAGGUCUGUCAACGGUAAAGCUGCAAUCAUCCAGGACCUCAUCCUGGAUGAGCGGGCAGACCUGGCGUGCAUAACGGAGACCUGGUUAGAUGAGGCUGGAGGAGUUAACCUCUCCCAGCUUUGUCCACCAGGGUAUACCGUGCAGCACCAACCGAGAUCUGGAGGGAGGGGAGGAGAGGUUGCAGUGAUCUAUAAGGAGUCCAUCCUCCUGACCAGGUGCCCCAUCCCGCAGUUUACCUUGUUUGAGUGUGCUCAUCUGAGGGUAGGGGGCCGGGACAGUUUAAGGAUUCUGCUAGUGUACCAACCACCCUGCUGCACUACAGUCCCCCUGCCUGAGCUAGCUGGGGUGGUCUCGGGCCUGGCUUUGGAGUCCCAACGGCUCAUUGUGCUGGGGGACUUCAAUGUCCAUGCCGAGGCCACUUUCUCCGGUGCGGCUCAGGACUUCAUGGGGCUGUCCCAAUUAGUAUCUGGCCCUACCCACACACUUGACUUGGUUUUCUGCCAGGGAUGGGAGGAAUGUGGCGGUGUGGAGGAGCUCACCAUCUCUCCGUUGCCAUGGACCAAUCAUUACCUCAUCAGGUUUAGACUUACUGCGCCUCCUAACCUCCGCAGGGGUGGAGGACUGAUUAAGAUGGUCCGCCCCAGGAGGCUUAUGGAUCCGGAUGGAUUCCUGAUGGCUCUUGGGGAGUUUCCCGCUGCCUCGGCUGGUGAUCCCGUCGAUGCUCUGGUCGCCCUCUGGAACAAGGAGGCGGCUAGGGCAAUAGACACGAUUGCUCCAGAACGUCCUCUCUCGAGUACCCGAGCUAAACCAUCUCCUUGGUUCACUGAGGAGCUGGCAGCGAUGAAGCGAAAGAAGAGGGGACUAGAGGGCGUGUGGCGUUCAGAGCCAAGCGAGCCAAACCGAACAUGCUAUGCUAUCUCAGGGCAUACGCCGCUGCAAUAGAUGCUGCAAAGAACGUUUUCUUUGCAGCUAAUAUUGCGUCCGCAAAGAACCGUCCGGCAGAGCUGUUCUGAGUUGUCAGAGGUUUGUUAUAUCCCGUCCCUCAAGACGGGAUCCCUGACAACUCGGCAGCCCACUGUGAAGCAUUUGCUCGGUUCUUUGCAGACGAAGUCGCUUUGAUCCGUUCUGGCUUUGAUACCAUAUUAACGGCAGUCUCCGAGGAUGUAGCACGAGCACCUGCUUGUCCUAUUUUGAUGAAUUCGUUUCAAUUGGUUCACCCUGAGGACGUGGACAAGGUGCUUGGAGAGGUGAGGGCUACCACAUGCAUCCUAGACCCCUGCCCAUCCUGGCUGGUGAGAGAAACCAGAGGGGGGUUGGCCGAGUGGGUGAAGGUGGUGGUGAAUGCCUCCCUUCAGGAAGGCAUAUUUCCAGCAACCCUCAAACUGGCUGUGAUCAAGCCGCUGUUGAAAAAGCCAUCACUGGACCCCACUCAAUUGGAUAACUAUCGGCCUAUUUCCAAUCUCCCCUUUUUGGCAAUGUCGUGGAACGUGCGGUGGCCGCACAACUCCAGGCAUUCUUGGUAGAUACUGAUUUUCUGGAUCCGGCACAGUCUGGCUUCAGGCCGGGGCAUGGUACCGAGACAGCCUUGGUCGCCUUAGUCGAUGAUCUAUGCCGGGAACUGGACAGGGGGAAUGUGUCCCUGCUGGUUCUGCUGGACCUCUCUGUGGCCUUUGAUACCAUUGACCACGGUAUCCUUCUGGGACGCCUUGCCGGGAUGGGGCUCGGGGGUACUAUUCUGCAGUGGCUCCGGUCCUUUCUGGAGGGUCAUUCCCAGUUGGUGUCACUGGGGGACAUCUGCUGGGCCCCACAACCUUUGACUUGUGGGGUCCCACAGGGUUCAAUACUGUCCCCCAUCUUGUUCAACAUAUACAUGAAGCCACUGGGAGAGAUCAUCCGGAGUUUCGGGGUCCGGUGUCAUCUGUACACAGAUGAUGUCCAGUUCUGUCACUCCUUCCCACCUGUCACUAAGGAGGCUGUCCAGGUCCUGAACCGGUGUCUGGUCGCUUUGUCAGACUGAAUGCGGGCGAACAAAUUGAAACUGAAUCCAGACAAGACGGAGGUCCUCCUGGUCAGUCGUAGGGUCGAACAGGGAAUAGGGUUACAGCCUGUGUUGGAUGGGGUCGCACUCCCCCUGAAGACACAGGUUCGCAGUCUGGGGGUUCUCCUGGACUCAUCGCUGAGCCUGGAGCCCCAGGUCUCGGCGGUGGCCAGGGGAGCCUUUGCACAACUCAGACUUGUGCGCCAGCUGCGCCCGUUCCUUGGGAAGUCUGAUUUGGCCACGGUGGUCCACGCUCUGGUUACAUCCCGUUUGGACUACUGCAACGCUCUCUACGUGGGUUUGCCUUUGAAGACAGCCCGGAAGCUCCAACUAGUACAACGGGCGGCAGCCAGAUUAAUAACUUACAGGGAGCGUACCACCCCCCUACUUAGCCAGCUCCACUGGCUGCCAAUAUGCUACCGAGCCCAAUUCAAAGUGCUGGUUUUGACCUAUAAAGCCCUAAACGGUUCUGGCCCAAUCUACUUGUCUGAAGGUAUCUCCUCCUAUGAGCCAGGAAGAUCCCUAAGGUCAUCUGGUGAGGCCCUGCUCUCGGUCCCGCCUGCCUUGCAAGCACGGCUGGUGGGGACGAGGGGUAGGGCCUUUUCGGUCGUGGCUCUUCGGUUGUGGAACACCCUCCCCAGAGAUGUACGACAAGCCCCAACCCUUCUGAGUUUUAGAAAAGUCCUGAAAACAUGGCUAUGUGCCCAGGCUUUCGAUGAUUAAAUGAUAAAGACGACCCGGACUGAUUUACGGCCACAGCAUGAGGAUUUUGGAUGAACGGAUUUUUAACUAUAUGUUUAUAUUUUUAUAUUGUUUUAAUUGGAUUUUCAUUGCUAUGUUUUAAUUAUGUGUAGGCAUCGAAUUGUUGCCAAUUGUGUACGCCGCCCUGAGUCCCUUCGGGUGAGAAGGGCGGGAUAUAAAUGUUGGAAAUAAAAUAAAUAAAUAAAAUAAGUUACAGGUUCAGUUUGUACUUCAAUAUACAACAAUUAGCUGACCCCUUCCUCCAGUCAUUUAGUUCUUCUAUAAUUUCACCCAUUUUUGUCCCUUCCAAUUCCAUAUCUCUUAAUCUAGCAAAUUGAAAUGCCUCAAAGUACAACUCCAGCGAGGGGCUCCCCACCCACCCAUUUCUUGGGUGCCAUAAAAUAUAAAGUUAGAGAUUCUAUUUUUAUUUCCUCCCAUUACCCAUUUCUUGAUGGAGCUGUCCCACUUCCUGAAUAGUUUGGUGGGGAUAUUUACCGUCAGAGUUUGAAAUAAGUACAGAAAUUUGGGUAGCAAAUUUAUCCCAGGUGUUAAGUGAUUUGCCUGUGUUUUUCCAUAAAUGAUUGAAGUUCAUUUGAAUAAUGUUUAAAUUUUUUGGAAUUUCUACUCUUAGAUAUUUUAGCUACUUUUUCUCCAAUUUCACACCUAUACGGUUUUGGGUGGUUUUUCGUUCUUUCCAUGUUAGAGUCUUAUGGAGAAUUUCUGGUUUCCCAAAGUUAAGUGUGAGCCCCAAAAUUUCCCCGAAAUCCUUAAUUGUUUUGACUAUUGAACUUAGCAAGUCCUUCACUUCACUUAAAAUUAACAUGGCGUCAUCCACAUAAAGAUUGAUUUUGAUUUCCUCUUUACCUGCCUUAUAUCCUUUGAUGGUUAUCUCCUCACUAAUGACAUUUGCUAAUGGCUCGAUGGCCAGCAUGACAAUCGUAUGUAACCCUCUGAAGGAUUGUCACAGAAAGCUUGCCUUCUGCUACUCCAAAAAACAGGACCUCAGAUUAGGGAUUAAAUUAACAAGAAAUGGGAUUCUACCAAAUCUUAGGCAGAACUUCUCAAACGGUCCUGUUUGAAAUCAGACAAUAUGGGUGUUCAAAGAAGCAAAAGACUUCUUCAAAAUCUGAACAGAGUUUGAAACUAAUAAGAGAAUUGUCUUAGAAAUGAGUCCAAAGUCAAGCCUAAUGUUACUGGAAGCCAAGGGAAUAACACAUGUUCAUCUGCCAUUUCCCUGUUUUAACACAUUUUAUUAAUUUUGUGCCACCUCUCCGGAUAUUGUCUCUCCUGUAUGUAGUUUGUGAUAGUUCAAAAGAUAUGAACCCCAAACAAAAAUGUUCAAAAUGUCUGGCAUUUGCAUAUUUGUGGAAAUUCUCUAGUACUUGUUAAGGGAUGAAGUCUGAGUAAAACAUUUCCCAUA